rnacentral:rRNA from 1 species
CGUCAAGUCAUCAUGGCCCUUAUGGGCAGGGCUACACACGUGCUACAAUGGCGAAUACAGAGGGCUGCAAACCUGCAAAGGUAAGCUAAUCCCUUAAAGCUCGUCGUAGUCCGGAUCGGAGUCUGCAACUCGACUCCGUGAAGUCGGAAUCGCUAGUAAUCGCGAAUCAGAAUGUCGCGGUGAAUACGUUCCCGGGUCUU